rnacentral:lncRNA from 1 species
UAGGACACGCCAUAUCUGGAGAAACAACUCAAUAUGAACUUAUGGUACAAGGUUUUAAUGUGGAAGAGUUGCGGCAGACGUAUCUAUCGCAACAUUUUCAGCGUUUGAGUCAAUUCUAGCCUCUUUUAUAUUGGACUUCAAUUCUUAUCAUUAUCUUUACUACCCUCUUCCUUACUUGAUGAAUCCUCUCCCACUUCAAAUGAGAGAGUGGAAACUGGAGUUUAAACCAUGAUGGGUGACACCACCAAUUGCCUAAUGACAUUCAUAUCUUUGUCCUUGGAAUGAAAGGAUGCUAUAUUUUUACUAUUUAUUAAAUUUCUUGGUAGAUCCGGG